rnacentral:lncRNA from 1 species
AUGAGGAAGAGAACGGGGCUAGCACAGUCAACAGCUCUUCCUCAGUGGGAGUGGAACCUUGGCAGGAUGGCCAGCUUACACAGAGGAAAGAGAAGAAAUCCUGCAGGCAAGGAAGAGGGAAACAAUGUGCAUAAGCACAGAUUGUCAUUGCUCAAGUCCACUUCGCUCUUGCUGAGCCUGAGUUCAAGCUCUGAUGGAGCUAUUUGUGCUACUGCCUGUCUCCAAGCUAGUGAUGGAGCAGGAUUCAACUCCCUUCCACCCACAAGGGACCUCCCAAGGGACACAGCCUUCAGGAAAGUAUUUGGCCUUUCCAAGGCUCAAGGGCAUCAGAGAGGGGAAUUCUAAGGAAAAAAAAACAGUCAUCUAAAUGUAAUCUCAAGGCAAAAGAGAUGGCUUAGACUUACUAGAAACACACUACCCCAUUCUUCCCAACCAGACUAUAAGAACAAGGAAGGUGAAGCAAAUUGUGUGUGUGCAAGCACGCAUGUGUGUGUGUGUGUGUAUGUAUCUUCUAUUUCCUUGAAACAGUCUCACAAAUAACACACCCCUCUGGGGAGAUGGUGCCAGAACCCAAGUAAUGCAGAAUACAGGAAUGAUCUUUACCCAUCCUUAUUUGGAGGCUUAUGUAUGAAAGCAGGCAAACACAGAAAAUCUGUGAACACACUGAGAUAUGUGCUGACUCUGUACAUUGCAAUGAUUCUUACGCGUGGGUGACUCAGUACAGGUGAAAAAUAUACACUGCCUCUGGAUGAUAUCUGUAUUUUCAAAGACAAGUGGGAAUAUGUGUGUUUUAUCUGUAAACGGUGUACAUUCAGAGGCAUACAAUGGUAUUCAGAGAAGAUGGAGGUAGUAAACCUAUACGGGACACACAUGGAAACUGGAUAGUUAUCUCUUUGGAUGGAUUUGUUGCUUCGUGGGUAAGGAUACCUAGUCAUUCCGGGAUAGUUAGCCUUUGGACCACAGACCCAAGGCUAUAGCAGAAGGUGAACAGGAUCUAUUGGGAUUUCAUAUUCACUGCUAUGAAGUAUGUAGGAUUCUUCUAGUAUUGCUGCUUAAAUUUUAAAUUUUUAUUAAUAUAAAGAGAACAUAUUUCAUGUAUUUCAUAGGACAAUCACACUUACCUCCCUCUCUCAAUCCCCCUCCUUCCUUCUUUCCUUUUUUUGAAAACCUUGAAAAAAUAAGCUCAAUCCACUCUAUAAUCACAGACUUAAUUCAAUUACAAACAAUAAUGUUCAGUGAAUAUAAAAUAAGAAGACCACAAUUCCACAGGAGUAUAAACAAGGGCUAAAACAACAAUCAUAUAACAAGAUGUACAUUUCAUUUCUAUGAAUUUUUAUAUUCUAUA